GGAGGGGUGGCAGAGUGGUUGAAUGCACCGGUCUUGAAAACCGGCGUGGGUUAACGCCCACCCAGGGUUCAAAUCCCUGCCCCUCCGCCA
rnacentral:tRNA from 2 species